AAUCGCCUCCAUAUCUGUUCUCGUUAACUUUUCCUCUCUCUGUCUCUGUAACUGCAAACUACAAAAUCUACAAGAAUCAUAUCAGCCUCCCAAAUCGCCUCCAUCUCUAUUCUCGUUCUCAACUCUGAACUUACCCUCUUUCUGUCUCUGCAACUGCAAACUACAAAAUCUACAAGAAUCAGAACCCAUAUCAGUAUAUAUUGUUCAAAAAAUCAAAACCCAUAUCCUUCAGUUUAGGGAUGGCGGGGCGGGGAUCUCAUUCCCCAUCCCCAUCAAUUUUUCAAUUCCCAUCCUGCUUAAAAUUUCACCACCACCCCCAUACCCGCCCCCGACCCCUUAUCCCCGGCCCCUGCCCCGAUUAACAUAUAUUAUUUUUUUAAAAAAACAUAUUUUUUCUUAUUUUCAUAUAUAUACUAAAUCUAAUUUAGUAAUAAAUUAUUACAUAUAAAGGUAUAUUAGUAAUUUAACCUUUAAUCGGGGUGGGGCGGGUUUACCCCAUCCCCACCCCGUCCCCGGCGGGUUUUCAAAAUUUACCCCCAUCCCUAUCCUCGUUUACAUAAAAGGUCCCCAUCCCUGCCAUAAACGGGGCGGGCGGGGAUGGGGAAUUUGCCAUCCCUACUUCAGUUUCCAUAGCCCGCUGUUUCAGUUCGGGUUCGCCGUUCGCAAACUUCAGCCUCUGUCCCGCUGUCUCUCAACUCUAAAGCCCUCUCUCUCUGGAAUUGCUAACUUGUGCAUUUCAUCAAUUGGCUUCAUUUCUUCAAACUAUGUGAUAUACCCAAAAGGUCAAAGCUAGGAUUGCGGUUGCCGUUACUUUUUUUGUUGCCGUUAUAUUUUUUGUAUGGCUCAUGAAGAAGUUGCAUAUGUAAUGGAAGAGAGAGACUAAAACAGAGCAAGAACAUAUAAGAAUUUUUGUUUUAUUUUGGUAUAUGGUAUAAGAAGCAAGAAAUUUGUAUACGGUUAAUUUUUGUAUAAAACAAUUAUUUGGAAUUUGUUAUAUAUAUAUAUAUGUGAUGAUUUCGGUUA